rnacentral:rRNA from 1 species
UCGAGAAUCUUUCGCAAUGGACGAAAGUCUGACGAAGCGACGCUGCGUGAACGAUGAAGGCCUUCGGGUCGUAAAGUUCUUUCGCGUAGGAACAAGAAAAGGAUGUGAAUAGCAUUCUGAUUUGAGGGUACUACGAUAAGAAGCACCGGCUAACUCCGUGCCAGCAGCUGCGGUAAUACGGAGGGUGCAAGCAUUAAUCGGAAUUAUUGGGCGUAAAGGGCGCGUAGGCGGAUGUAUAAGUCAGAUGUGAAAUUCCGAGGCUCAACUUCGGAACUGCAUUUGAAACUAUACGUCUAGAGGAUUGGCGGAGAAAACGGAAUUCCACGUGUAGCGGUGAAAUGCGUAGAUAUGUGGAAGAACACCUGUGGCGAAAGCGGUUUUCUAGCUAUUUCCUGACGCUGAGGCGCGAGAGCAAGGGGAGCAAACAGGAUUAGAUACCCCGGUAGUCC